rnacentral:rRNA from 1 species
GAUGAACGCUGGCGGCGUGCCUAAUACAUGCAAGUCGAGCGAACAGACGAGGAUUUUGCUCCUCUGACGUUAGCGGCGGACGGGUGAGUAACACGUGGAUAACCUACCUAUAAGACUGGGAUAACUUCGGGAAACCGGAGCUAAUACCGGAUAAUAUAUUGAACCGCAUGGUUCAAUAGUGAAAGACGGUUUUGCUGUCACUUAUAGAUGGAUCCGCGCCGCAUUAGCUAGUUGGUAAGGUAACGGCUUACCAAGGCGACGAUGCGUAGCCGACCUGAGAGGGUGAUCGGCCACACUGGGACUGAGACACGGUCCAGACUCCUACGGGAGGCAGCAGUAGGGAAUCUUCCGCAAUGGGCGAAAGCCUGACGGAGCAACGCCGCGUGAGUGAUGAAGGUCUUCGGAUCGUAAAACUCUGUUAUUAGGGAAGAACAAAUGUGUAAGUAACUAUGCACGUCUUGACGGUACCGGAUCAGAAAGCCACGGCUAACUACGUG